rnacentral:lncRNA from 1 species
CCAUUUUCAAAGACCUACAGGUUUGGAAGACCUGGGUCUGAAACAGCUAGCCAUUUGGUUCUUUAAAGAUCCCUGAAUGAUGUGAGUUACUUGGGCGAGUGGGUCAGGACCCUGUUAUGAGGCAGGUGAUGGAAAAAAUCCAUUCACAAUAUUUUCUCUAGCAACAAGCCAGAUAUGGUGAUCAGGGGACUGUGAAGUUUACCAAAUGGGGGAUGUCAGUCAAAAGAAAACAUGGCAUAGAUUAUCAGUAUUCUGGCCAGGCCUCAGAGAUGUGGCAUAGCAGUAUGUGAAAAAGGGAUCUUGAGUUUAUGUGGAAGGGCAAGUAGACUAUGGUGAAUAUAUGGAUAAAAAUAAUGUGAGGUGGCAAGCAAUGACUAUCAUAGCUGAUAAUAUUAUACUUCUAAGAGACCAGGCAAAAGAGAAGGCGUGGAAUGGA